rnacentral:rRNA from 1 species
AGCGAACGCUGGCGGCAGGCCUAACACAUGCAAGUCGAACGAACCUUUCGGGGUUAGUGGCGGACGGGUGAGUAACACGUGGGAACGUGCCUUUAGGUUCGGAAUAACUCAGGGAAACUUGUGCUAAUACCGAAUGUGCCCUUCGGGGGAAAGAUUAAUCGCCUUUAGAGCGGCCCGCGUCUGAUUAGCUAGUUGGUUGAGGUAAUGGCCCACCAAGGCGACGAUCAGUAGCUGGUCUGAGAGGAUGAUCAGCCACAUUGGGACUGAGACACGGCCCAAACUCCUACGGGAGGCAGCAGUGGGGAAUCUUGCGCAAUGGGCGAAAGCCUGACGCAGCCAUGCCGCGUGAAUGAUGAAGGUCUUAGGAGUGUAAAAUUCUUUCACCGGGGACGAUAAUGACGGUACCCGGAGAAGAAGCCCCGGCUAACUUCGUG